UUGGAGGCGGGGCAGACACCGGACACCGGACAAGCUGACCCAAGCCCCUAACACCGACUGGGACCCCAGGCAGGGAAUCCUGGCUCGUAAUCACUCAGCCCCGCUGCUCUGGAGUGACUGGAGUCCGGACUCCAGCCUGCCAGAAAGGAAAGGGACCAUCACACGGAAAAGGAAGCAUCUGCUUGAGCCCAGUGGGCAUAAUUAGAAGAAAUGAAUGGAAUUUUCAGUAAGGAAGAACUUCCUGCCAUUGAGAACUAUCUAAAGGUGGGAGAGGUUGUCUAUCCCUCAGAGGACUUUUAAGCAAGAAUUCUUUUUAAGGCACCAUCUUAUUAAAAGUGGAUUAGCAUAUCUGCUUCAAGACUACAAAUAAUUUGGAAAGGGAGGUUUUAUUUCAAGAAGUCUGAAAAAAUGUCUUGUGUGGGGAAGUUGGAACUGGCCUCCUCCUGAGCACAAAGGGAUAAAGGCAAUAAAACAGGUAGGAAAAACUUCAGAGAGGAGCACAGAGGAUAGAGUGCCAGCCCUGGGGAGCCAGGAGGAUCUGUGUACAAAUCUAGCCUCAGACACCUACUUAUUGCAUGACCCUGGGUGAGUCACUUAACCCUAUUUGCCUCAGUUUCCUCAUCUGUAAAAUGAGCUGGAGAAGGAAAAUGGCCAACCACUCCAAUUUCUUUGCCAAGAAAACUCCAAAUAGGGUCAAGAAGAGUUGGACAUGGCUGAACAUCAACAAGCUUCACAGAGUGUUUCCCCACUGGCAGCAGACUGAGAAUUGGCCCUGGUGAAUUACAGUCAAGAUGCAGAGAGGGUGAUAAAUGAAUCAGAAAGACCCUGAGUCUCUGCAGGACUGGAAAUGAAUAUUCCACUGGGUUCUCCAUGUGUAUGCCUAUCAUUGUAUUCCAACUUUGUGCUCACUCUUCCCAAAGACACUUUUGUCUUUUGAUUCCACCUUCACCAUCCCAUUCAGCCCAUCACUGGCCUAAAAUCUCUGGGAACUAAAAGAUGGGAACAUCUCUGAUGUACACCAAAAAAAUAUGUUUCUCUAUGAAAAAGUAAAGCUUACAAGUCAUCUCAGGGCUGAGGGUGGGAAUUAAAAUAGCUAUCUCUGGGGCUAUGACACCACCCCUGGGGUUCCUGAGAGUCACCACUCACUCCUUCCUCCAUCCCCUGACCUCACUGACUGGUCUAAGACCAAAAAGUUUUGUGCUUUCAGAGAGGUUCAGGACAAAGACCUGAAGAGCAUUCCAUCUUAUCUCUACUCAUCUUGAGAUGACUCCUGGUUAAUGAACCACUUUUAUUUGUAAGUUUUAUGUGUGCUGCCUAUUUCUGUUGCCAUCAAAUUGAGGAAAAAUGUGACCUUGCACAUAGGAAGUGGCUAAUAACUGCUUAUUGAUUUGACUUGAAUAGAAAAAUCUAAUAAUUUAUUUUCUGUAAACUCUAAAAUUAACCCUGACCCUAAAACUAAAUGGCACUAAAACAUUUCCAGAGUUCUAGAAAUGCAAUCAUACAAAAGAGAGAAAUUGAAGGUAUAAAUGUACACAAAAAGGAGACAAAAUUAUUCCUGUUCAUAGAGAACAUGAUAAAGUACUUAGAAAACUAUAGUAAAUUAGAGAAGAAACUAGUUAAGUGAUUAUUCAACUCAAGUCAAUAAGCAUUAAAAAAUUUUUUUUAAACCUUUACCUUUGGUCUUAGAGUUAAUACUAUACAUUGGUUCGGUUUUUAAAAUUCAGAUAUUUUAUUUUCCCAAUUACAUGUAAGAACAAUUUUUAACAUGUUUCCCAAAAUUAUAAGAUCCAAACCAUUUCCCUCCCUCCUUUUCCUUCCCCAACUCAGAGAUGCUAAACAAUUUGAUCUGGGCCAUAUAUGCAUCAUCAUGCAAAAAACACUUGUGGAAAGGGCUAGGCAAAUGGGAUUAAGUGACUUGCCCAGGGCCACACAGCCAGGAAGUGUCUGAGGCCACAUUUGAACCCAGGAUCUCCUCUCUCUAGCUCAUUUUUUGAGGGUCUUCUAAUGGCCUGCUAGGAAGUGGUAAUCCAAAAACAAAAAGCAAAACUGACCUUUCCUUUAUGGACUUUACAUGCUACUGGUGGGAAACAAUAUGUACCCAGGUCUAUAGAUUCAGAAUCUAUUUGUUUGUCAAGUCUUGUCUUUUCUACUUCUGUAACAUCUCUCAAAUAGGCUCUCUUCCUUCCCUUGACACAACCACCUCCCUGGUGUAGGUCCUCAUCAGCUCAUCCCUGGAUUAUUGCAAGCACCUGCUGUAAGGGCUGCCUGCCUCAGAUCUCUUCCCCACUCCAGUCCAUUCUCCCCUCAGCUGGCCAGUUGGUCUUCCUAAAAUGCAGAUCUGACCUUAUCAUUGCCCCCCUCCAACAAAUUCCAAUUAGCUCCAAGAUGAAAUUAAAAUCCUGUUUGGCUCUCUAAGCCCUUUGCAACCUGAUCUUUGCCUACCCGUCUAGCCUUCUUACAACGUGCUCUCUUCCAGGUACUGGGGAUCCGGUGGCAAUGGCCUCCUUGUUGCUGCUCAAAUUCCACAUUCUUUCUCUCACCUUUGAACAUUCUCUCUGGCUGUCCCCCAUGCCUAGAAAGCUUUGGCUCUGCCCCUCUGCCUCCUAGAAUCCCUAGCUUCCUUCAAAUCUCAGUCCUUCUUAAAUUUAUUGCCUUCCCUCCGAGAUUAUCUGCAUUUUGCCUUGUAAAUGGCUUACUUAUACAUAUAUUUGUUUGGCUCCCCUCUUAGACUGGGACAGUUUUUCCCCUUUCAUUGUAUUCCCUAGCACUGAGCACAGUGUCUGGUACACAGUAGGCUGACUCUGGGAAAGUCAUUUAACUCAUUUGCCUCAGUUUCCUCAAAUGAAAAAUGGGGAUAAGUGCACUUACCUCACAGGGUUGUUGUAAGAUCAAAUGAGAUAUUUGUAGAAAUGCUAAGCACAGUGCUUGGCAUAGAGUUGGUUCCAUAUAAAUGUUUCUUCCCUUUUCUUCCCUCUUAACUUAAUAAAUGCUAGUUGGCUGACUCGUUAAAGUAAAUACAAAGUAAUGAGUGGGGAAAGAAGUACUAACUAUUGGGGGGAACUGGAAAGAUUUCCUUUAGGAGGGAAUCUAUCACCUAUGCUCUGGAAGAAGCUAGAAAUUCUAUAAAAUAGAUAUGAGGAGGAAAAGUAUGGCAAGAGGAGAUGGACUGUCAUAUGUUGGAGAAAGCAAGAAAGCUAGUCUCCAACCCACCUGCCCCACUUGUGGUUGGUUUUCCUUUUAUUUCCUUUUCUUUUAAACGCUUUCCAGAAAGUUUUAAUGUUUUAGCUAAUACAGUGUUCUCACAUUUUGCUAGCAAUUGUUUUAUUUUGGGUGUUCUUAUAUGUUUGGCUGGAAAGCUUGGUUGUUGUUUGGAGGCUUUGUUAAAUUAAAUUAAAUUAGCUAUGUCUCUCUGUAAACGUUUUAAGUCCAUUUCAUUCUGAAAUCUCCAUUCCUGUUUUCAUAGAGCAUACUGCACUUUCUGAGAAGAUAAUUCUGGGUUUGUGAACUAUAAUUUAUUUUAUUCUUUUUAAUUUGUACAAAUCCUCUCUUUUCUUCCUUGAAAGGCCCUUGAUGACCCCAAUUAUUAUUACUUGGUAAGGAUUUUUCACUCCUGGUAGCUUUGGGAUAUUUUUCCCCUUAUCAUUGCAUGACAUGUUUAGGAGUUUUAAAUCUUGGCUUCUUUUUUGCUGGGUCUUAGAGAUUUUUUUUUACAUUUCUCUCAUUUUUUUUUAUUAAGGGAAAUUCUAUUUAGUAAUUUCCUGUCUCGAUUCUUUGUUUCUUUUUUUUCUCUAAAUUCUCUGGAAUGUCAAUAAUCCCAAGAUCCAUGAUCUAUUAGUGGCCUAUCACUUGCCUACAUAUUUUUCAAUAGUCUAGUCAAUAAGCAUUUACUAAGCACUUAUAUAUUAGGCAUUUUGCUAAGCUCUAGGGAUACAAAGAAAAGAAAAAGUUAGCCCUCAAGGAUGUGAAUUUCUCAUAAGGAAGACAACAGGCAAAUAUUUCUGUACAUAAAAGAUAUAUGGGAAGUAUAAAUAGGAGGUAAUCUCAGAGGAAGGGGCGGGGGGGGGGAAUGAGGCAAGCAGGUAAAUAUCUUACAAAAGAUGAAAUUUGCAGUGAUUCUUGGAGGAAGUCAGGAAGCAGAGGCAAGGAGGAAAAGCAUUCUAGCUUGGGAGACCCCCAGUGAAAAGGUACCAAAUCUGGAGAUGGAGCAUCAUGUUCAAGGAACAAUGAAAAGGCCAGGGUUACUGGAUGGUAGAGCUCCUGGAGGGGAAUGAAGACUAAAAAAGACUUGAGAGGCGGCCAGCAUCCAGGCUGUCAAGGGGUUUAAAAGCCUAAAUUAGGAAGAUUUUCUAUUUGAUCCUGGAAAUAACUGGGUACCACUGGAGUUCACUAGAUCUGCAUAGAGAUGAUGAUCAUGGAAACUAUGGGAGCUGAUGAAAUCACCAAGUGAGAAAGCAUAGAUAUAGAAGAGAGAAGAGUCCAGGACAGAGCUUUGAGGACAGCCAAUUAGUGGGCACAGCCUAGAUGAAGAUCCAGAAAAGAACAACGAAGACUGCUUAGACAGGCAAGAGGAGAACCAAAAGAGAACAAUGUCCUAAAAACCUAGAGAGGAGAUAAGGAAGCAGGAGAGGAUGAUUGACAGUGUCAGAGACUGCAAGAAGGAUGAAGAUUGAGAAAAGGUCACAUUUUGUCAAGUAAUAGAAACGAGUUGGUGUAAAUCGGUGACUUAUUUUUAGUCUUUUGAGUCCUGGGGGUUCUAUACUGUGUGUGUGCAUUUGUUAUUUUAUUUUACUCGAAUAUUUCAUAUUUAUUUUUGUUAAUAUUUAAUAAUGAAUUUAAUUUUAAAUUUUUAUCAAAUCGUUAUGAUUUCACCCUAAAUGUAAUAAAAAUGAAUUUUAG